UGGGGAAUUUUGGACAAUGGGCGCAAGCCUGAUCCAGCAAUGCCGCGUGCAGGAUGAAGGCCUUCGGGUUGUAAACUGCUUUUGUACGGAACGAAAAAGCUCUCUCUAAUACAGGGGGUGAAUGACGGUACCGUAAGAAUAAGCACCGGCUAACUACGUGCCAGCAGCCGCGGUAAUACGUAGGGUGCAAGCGUUAAUCGGAAUUACUGGGCGUAAAGCGUGCGCAGGCGGUUUUGUAAGACAGAGGUGAAAUCCCCGGGCUCAACCUGGGAACUGCUUUUGUGACUGCAAAGCUGGAGUGCGGCAGAGGGCGAUGGAAUUCCGCGUGUAGCAGUGAAAUGCGUAGAUAUGCGGAGGAACACCGAUGGCGAAGGCAAUCCCCUGGGCCUGCACUGACGCUCAUGCACGAAAGCGUGGGGAGCAAACA
rnacentral:rRNA from 1 species